UACGGAGGAUGCGAGCGUUAUCCGGAUUUAUUGGGUUUAAAGGGUGCGUAGGCGGACUGUCAAGUCAGCGGUAAAAUUGAGAGGCUCAACCUCUUCCCGCCGUUGAAACUGGUGGUCUUGAGUGGAUGAGAAGUACGCGGAAUGCGUGGUGUAGCGGUGAAAUGCGUAGAUAUUCGGAGGAACACCAGUGGCGAAGGCGGCUUGCUGGGCUCUAACUGACGCUGAGGCUCGAAAGUGUGGGGAGCAAACAGG
rnacentral:rRNA from 1 species